GUAAAUAUAUAUUUAUUUCAGGUAAAAUGCACGAACACAUGCUAAUGUUCUCAUUGAUGGGAGGAGCCGGAGUUAUGGCUGCAAUACUAGAGUUUGCUAGAGUUUGCUACGUUACCUACAAAGAAGGGAAGAAAAAAGACGAAAAAGAAGACGACGUUUACGCAAUGUGAAAACGACAUAAAUUAAACUAAACUAAUUCAAGAUUUCAGGCCGAUAUAAUCAGUUCUUGUUUUUAUUAAUUCAAAAUUAAAAGUUUUGAUUCAAGAAUUCGGAGAACACAAAAUGUAUUAAAUAAACCUUCAGGAAAAUCAUUCUUUUUGUUUGAAUAUUUAUAUUCUUUUCUUCUCUCAUAAUGUUUAAAAACGACGUAAUGCAUUAAGCUUUCAACUCUCUUGGUUAACACCUCCUCUGGUUAAAAUGUAUAAUACAUACAAUGGUUGGCGUUAUAUCAAUACAAUUAACACGACUUUUAUCUUGAAUUUUUAAAUUCUACAAGGACAAGUAACUAAAAUAUGAACUGUUCCAAUUUCAUAAUUGAAUUCUAAACAUUUUCAUAAAAUUGUUCAAAUGUUUUGGGGAAUUGUUUUUAUUUAUGAUCGAAUUGUUCACCAGUUUAUUUCAUAUUUUCUGGGACUUACUUGCAUUUGUAUUAUUGAACAAAUCUCUUCCAAAAAUUAUCAAAUAUUUAAUAUCAAACGAAUUAUUAAUUUUAACAUUUUUUUACCCUUAUGAUCUAUUAUUGCUCAAUCUUGUUAAUUUUGUUCUUGAAAUAAACAUUACUUAAUUUU